rnacentral:rRNA from 1 species
GAUGAAUGCUGGCGGCGUGCUUAACACAUGCAAGUCGAGCGGUAACAGGAGUAGUUUACUACUUGCUGACGAGCGGCGGACGGCUGAGUAACGCGUGGGAACAUGCCCCAAAGUGAGGAAUAACUGCCCGAAAGGGUAGCUAAUGCCGCAUAUGAUCUUCGGAUUAAAGGAUUUAUCCGCUUUGGGAGUGGCCUGCGUAUGAUUAGGUAGUUGGUGAGGUAAUGGCUCACCAAGCCGACGAUCAUUAGCUGGUCUGAGAGGAUGACCAGCCAGACUGGAACUGAGACACGUUCCAGACUCCUACGGGAGGCAGCAGUGAGGAAUAUUCCACAAUGGGCGAAAGCCUGAUGGAGCAACGCCGCGUGAAGGAUGAAGGCCCUCGGGUUGUAAACUUCUUUUAUAAGUGAAGAAUAUGACGGUAACUUAUGAAUAAGCACCGGCUAACUACGUGCCAGCCGCCGCAGUAACA